AUUGAACGCUGGCGACAGGCCUAACACAUGCAAGUCGAACGAGUGGCGGACGGGUGAAUAAUGUAUGGGAAACUGCCUGAUGGAGGGGGCUAACUACUGGAAACGGUAGCUAAUACCGCAUACCAUCAGAUGUGCCCAGAUGGGAUGAGCUAGGUGGUGGGGUAACGGCUCACCAAGGCGACGAUCCCUAGCUGGUCUGAGAGGAUGACCAGCCACACUGGAACGGGGACAAGGUCCAGAAUCCGACGGGAGGCAGCAGUGGGGAAUAUUGCACAAGGGGCGCAAGGCUGAUGCAGCCAUGGCGCGGGUAUUAAGAAGGCCUUCGGGUUGUAAAGUACUGUCAGCGGGGAGGCGUUACCCGCAGAAGAAGCACCGGCUAACUCCGUGCCAGCAGCCGCGGUAAUUC
rnacentral:rRNA from 1 species